rnacentral:rRNA from 1 species
CAUAUCAAUAAGCGGAGGAAAAGAAACUAACAAGGAUUCCCCUAGUAACUGCGAGUGAAGCGGGAAAAGCUCAAAUUUAAAAUCUGUCAGCCUUUGGCUGUCCGAGUUGUAAUCUAGAGAAGUGUUAUCCGCGCUGGACCGUGUACAAGUCUCCUGGAAUGGAGCGUCAUAGAGGGUGAGAAUCCCGUCUUUGACACGGACUGCCAGGGCUUUGUGAUGCGCUCUCAAAGAGUCGAGUUGUUUGGGAAUGCAGCUCAAAAUGGGUGGUAAAUUCCAUCUAAAGCUAAAUAUUGGCGAGAGACCGAUAGCGAACAAGUACCGUGAGGGAAAGAUGAAAAGAACUUUGGAAAGAGAGUUAAACAGUACGUGAAAUUGCUGAAAGGGAAACGCUUGAAGUCAGUCGCGUUGUCCAGGGAUCAACCUUGCUUUUGCUUGGUGUACUUUCUGGUUAACGGGUCAGCAUCAAUUUUGACUGUUGGAAAAAGAUCAGGGGAAUGUGGCAUCUUCGGAUGUGUUAUAGCCCUUGGUUGCAUACAAUGGUUGGGAUUGAGGAACUCAGCACGCCGCAAGGCCGGGUUUUAACCACGUACGUGCUUAGGAUGCUGGCAUAAUGGCUUUAAUCGACCCGUCUUGAAACACGGACCAAGGAGUCUAACAUGCCUGCGAGUGUUUGGGUGGAAAACCCGAGCGCGUAAUGAAAGUGAAAGUUGAGAUCCUUGUCAUGGGGAGCAUCGACGCCCGGACCAGACCUUUUGUGACGGUUCCGCGGUAGAGCAUGUAUGUUGGGACCCGAAAGAUGGUGAACUAUGCCUGAAUAGGGUGAAGCCAGAGGAAACUCUGGUGGAGGCUCGUAGCGAUUCUGACGUGCAAAUCGAUCGUCAAAUUUGGGUAUAGGGGCGAAAGACUAAUCGAACCAUCUAGUAGCUGGGUUCCUGCC